rnacentral:rRNA from 1 species
GAUGAACGCUGGCGGCGUGCCUAAUACAUGCAAGUCGAGCGAACAGACGAGGAGCUUGCUCCUCUGACGUUAGCGGCGGACGGGUGAGUAACACGUGGAUAACCUACCUAUAAGACUGGGAUAACUUCGGGAAUCCGGAGCUAAUACCGGAUAAUAUAUUGAACCGCAUGGUUCAAUAGUGAAAGACGGUUUUGCUGUCACUUAUAGAUGGAUCCGCGCCGCAUUAGCUAGUUGGUAAGGUAACGGCUUACCAAGGCAACGAUGCGUAGCCGACCUGAGAGGGUGAUCGGCCACACUGGAACUGAGACACGGUCCAGACUCCUACGGGAGGCAGCAGUAGGGAAUCUUCCGCAAUGGGCGAAAGCUUGACGGAGCAACGCCGCGUGAGUGAUGAAGGUCUUCGGAUCGUAAAACUCUGUUAUUAGGGAAGAACAAAUGUGUAAGUAACUAUGCACGUCUUGACGGUACCUAAGCAGAAAGCCACGGCUAACUACGU